GUGUCUGGAUGGCGCAGUGGUCAGCGCAUCUGCCUAAUAAACAGGAGACCCAGGUUCGAAUCCUGGCCAGCACA